GUUUCUGUAGUGUAGUGGUCAUCACGUUUGCCUAACAUGCAAAAGGUCCCCAGUUCGAAACUGGGCGGAAACA
rnacentral:tRNA from 1 species